rfam:Schistosoma mansoni strain Puerto Rico chromosome 6, complete genome
AUCCAGAUGACGAGUUCCGAGUAGGAUGAAACGCGCUUCCUGGAU